rnacentral:rRNA from 1 species
UGAGACAGUUCGGUCCCUAUCUGCCGUGGGCGUUGGAAAUUUGAAGGGGGCUGCUCCUAGUACGAGAGGACCGGAGUGGACGAACCUCUGGUGUUCGGGUUGUGACGCCAGUCGCAUUGCCCGGUAGCUAUGUUCGGACAGGAUAACCGCUGAAAGCAUCUAAGCGGGAAACUUGCCUCAAGAUGAGAUCUCACUGGGAUCUUGAAUCCCCUAAAGGGCCGUCGAAGACUACGACGUUGAUAGGUUGGGUGUGUAAGCGCUGUGAGGCGUUGAGCUAACCAAUACUAAUUGCCCGUGAGGCUUGACC